rnacentral:lncRNA from 1 species
CUGAGUUCUCAUGAAAGUAAAUCUGAAAUAGCCAAAUAUGGAAACUUAGCAGGAGGAGGCAGAACGAGCAGAGAAAGUCGCCCGGCCGGAGUGGCCCAGUGGGACCCGCAGCAAGCGUGUGGCCCUGAUAAUCACCAAAAAUUCUCAGAACCACCAAGAUCCUGCAGAACAGGAACAAGGUGGAGACAAUCUGGUACGGAGAACUCAGAAUCUGCGAAUUUUCUGGGUACCUCUGAGCAAGUCCUUUCAACUCUGGGAGCUCUGGUUUGCGUCAAGGCUCCUCAGAGCUCGCCUUCUGGGGAGGGGGUUAGCUGCUUUCUAAAGGAAGAAGCGCAAACCAACAGCUGGUGGAGGCUUCCAUUCCUUGCAAUCCUGAAGUUUCAUUCUGGAGUUGCUUUGCUUGGAAAGCCCUGCAACGGCGGAGGGUGCCUCCGGGUGCGGGAGGGGCCCGGGCCUGGUCUGAGUGCGGCUGUGCGGGGCGUGCCUGAAGGUCCUCCCCGCCGGCGCAUCCCAACGGAACCCGGCCCCUCCGGUCCUCAGCCGCCCUCUGGACCAGCUCCCCAGCUCGGGACCCCCGGUCUCUGCCCUUGCCACACCUCUCUCCCAACCGCACCCGCUCUCCCCGGGCCGUCGGCGGCCACCUGCCCCGCCGGUCUCCCGCGAGCUGGGGCCCCUCUGCCCCCCGCUGCCCAGCCGCCGCCUCGCGCCCUCCCCGCCGCCAGCAGGCGCUUUCGGUUUCAGAGUAACUCAGACGAGGCGAAAAGCGCUCGUCGCUGUCCCCACCCCGGCCCUUCCGCCGUGAGGGUGCCCCGGUCGGCGAACCGCCGGACUCACGUGGGGCUGGGCGCGCGGCCUCCGCGGGGCCAGUCGGCAGGCGCUCGGCUGCUCCGGGGCUGCUCCGGGGCUGCGGCCCGCUGGGCGGCAAGGCGGGUCGAGGCCUGGGGCGGGGCCGGCAGCGGGCGGGGGAGGGGGCGGCGGGGGGGAAGGGGCGGAGUGGGGGUGCGGGCGGGCGCAGGGGAAGGGCGGGCGCGCAGGAAGGGGUCGGGCGGAGGCUGA